rnacentral:rRNA from 1 species
GAUGAACGCUAGCGACAGGCUUAACACAUGCAAGUCGAGGGGCAGCAUAGAAGUAGCAAUACUUUGGUGGCGACCGGCGCACGGGUGAGUAACGCGUAUGCAACCUACCUAUCAGAGGGGAAUAACCCGGCGAAAGUCGGACUAAUACCGCAUAAAACAGGGGCACCGCAUGGUGAUAUUUGUUAAAGAAAUUCGCUGAUAGAUGGGCAUGCGUUCCAUUAGGUAGUUGGUGAGGUAACGGCUCACCAAGCCGACGAUGGAUAGGGGAACUGAGAGGUUGGUCCCCCACACUGGUACUGAGACACGGACCAGACUCCUACGGGAGGCAGCAGUGAGGAAUAUUGGUCAAUGGGCGAGAGCCUGAACCAGCCAAGUCGCGUGAAGGAAGAAGGAUCUAUGGUGCGUAAACUUCUUUUGCAGGGGAAUAAAGUGCAGGACGUGUCCUGUUUUGUAUGUACCCUGAGAAUAAGGAUCGGCUAACUCCGUGCCAGCAGCCGCCGUGU